CCACACCUCCCAGAACCGUACCCAAGACAACCCUCCUAUUCCUAGUUCUACUUCUUGUCACCCAUCUGACUAAAACCUUAUUAAUAGUGGAUGUGACCCUAGAACAGUUCUGAAAGUGUGAUGAAACUAGCCAAUCUGUUAGUCGAAUCAAUUGGUAAGUAACAUUCCUAACUAUAGGGGUAGGUCUCAGUGAACAUAUUUGGAAAUUACCACUAGAGACCUCUCUAAUCUUCUGACACUCAGGUCUGCUCCCAUUAUCCAUUAGUGAAGGAGUUGUGUGAAUAUAGGUGAAAGGAGGAGUCAGGAAUAUAGGCUCUAUCUCUUCCUCUACAUUCAACAAGACCUUCACUUCCCCACCCUUAUUGUGUCUUACUGUUCCCCAAUUUAUCCCCUUUAUGAUUAAUGUAUCCACUAUAAUUAGUGUUAUAUGAUACUCUCUAAGAUUGCUGUUAACAUUAUAACUAGGGUUAGUAACAUUUCAUAACAUUUCAUUUCAUAUUAAUAUUUCCUCCCUCCAUAUCUACAACCCAUUUUCCCCAACCAGUCCAUAUACAUUCCCAUUUUCCUCAACCAGUCCAUAAACAUUCCCAAUGUUCUUAAUUUCCCUUAUUGUCUUUUCCAAAAUCCCUUGAAAGAAUCAUGUCGCUUUAACCAAACAAUCUUGACCGCCCACCCAAAAUUAAAUGUCACAUCUACAUAUGGACUUGUAGAUUGUCACUGCUGUCCUCUGUUAAGUCUUUGGUAGAUCGAGCUGCCUUUGCAUAGAUACAGCUGUUGUUGCUUUGGCCUGUGACAAGCUGUUCCAUCACUUUCCAGGUGAGUUUUAGCAUGUUGAGUGACAUCCAUGUCUCGGUACUUUUGGAAAAAUCUGUAAGAGAUCAAGAAGGCGUAUCAGUUCUUAGCAGAUAACUCUGUACCUGGGGAACAAGCCCCUUUAUAUAAUUUACGUUGGUCUACAUGGACUGACUUGUAUAGACCUCUGCAUUUUUACAAAUGUUUUGCCCAAUGUUUCUAGGAUUACAUAGGGCUCUUCCCAAUUUGCAUCCCAGGGAUAAUUUUGAUAAAAUGUUUAAUCUUUAUUACGCCUACCCCCCCUUU